GGGAUUGAAAUGAUGUAUCUGCUGAAACAGGAAAAGGCUCAGUAGCUUUGGUGACUGUGGUGGUUUGAAUAAGCUUGACCCACAGGGAGUGGCACUAUUAGGAGGUGUGGCCUCGUUGGAGUGGGUGUGGCCUUGUUGGAGGAAGUGUGUCACUGUUGGGGUGGGCAAGUGAGUUUCUUUCUAGCUGCCUGAGGAUACCAGCCUCCUCCUGUCUGCCUUUGGAACAAGAUGUUGCCCUCUCAGCUCCUUCUCCAGCACCAUGUCUGCCUGGAUGAUGCCAUGUUUCCUGCCAUGAUGAUGAUGGACUGAAUAUCUGAACAGCUUAACUGAUAUAAGCUGGAGGAAAGCUCUUCUGCCUGUCACACCCUCACUGCCGGCCCUGUAGGAAGUGCUUUUGCUGGUCACACCCUCGCUGCGGGCCACAUAGAUUUGAACAUGGGUCUGAAUCGGACAAGGCUAAUAAGGCGAUCAGUCUUAGAGAACAUCUGAGUGAUGGCGUCCUUGAUUCUGCAGUCUAUGAACAACCGGCUUCUUCUGUGGAGGGACAGGGAAUGAAUGCUUUGUCAGUCUUCCAGCCCAGAGAAGAGACAAUGGGCUGACCAUGUCACCUUGAGGAUGGUGGCAUUACACUCUAAGUAACCCCGAAGUUUAGUCUCUAGCAGGGAAUGCACAAACUCCUGCACCCACACACUGGGACUUGAUGUUCAUUCAGGCACAAUAUAUUUCCUUUAAAAAAUGCAUACCUUUCAGUGAAUUUUCACAGCUUUCUCUGUGUGAAGAGAAAGAUUCCUGUAGUAACUGACUCUAGUUAUUUAUAUGUAAAUAAAGCCAUUGGCAGAUUUUUU